UAAUAAUAAUAAUAAUAAUUAAUAAUAAUAAUACAAUUUCCUCAGUGCUUUCAUUUCUUUCCUGGCUGUGCUCAUAACUAUUGCUGGUGUGCUCCUGAAUGAAUAUAUAUUUCUCUCUCUUUUGAAUUUUAAGACCAAGCCUGUCAGUUAGCUUAUUCAGUUAAAGUCAGUUCAACUAGUAAUCUGGAACUUCAUGCUGAAGGAGUCAAAUGCAUUGUGUGAAGGAAAUAUGGGGGGUAUUAUGCGAUAUUUGAGGGCUCCAUGUCCUUCACCGGUCUCACUUGAGGCAGCUGAGGAAUGGAAGAGGGAGCGGGGAGAUAUACUGAAAGGAAAAAGGUGUCUGUUUUAAACCAUGGCUGAAGUUUGAGUAAAGCAGGGAGAGGCCAAAGUCGCCUACUCCUGCGGAUUCAAUGUGCAGGGUUCAACUACGCCAGUCAUAGGAGCCAACUCCUAGGGGCUGAGGGGGCUUCGCCCCCCCCAAUAAAAUAUUGGGGGGGGGAUUGCCAUUCAAAUGGUGUGCGCACACCAUGGCAUGUGAUCAAUUGUGAAGGGUGGGGCUUACCUGCCCCUCCCAUAUUUUUUCAAGUUUGCACCCCUGACUCCAAUUUUCAUUUGAAUGGGGAAAACAUGGAUUAACAGCUAACUGAUGCUCAAAUGUGGGCAGCCAACCCUGAAUGUCAACACUGACCUUAUCACUACAAUAGCCACCCUAAUUUUUGUAUUCUUUUUGUGCUUUAUUUUCCUUCAACCCCAUGGCUUCUUGCUUUGUGUAACACCUUGGCCAAUGAAAAAUUCUGAAGACCUCAAAAGCUUACAACAGUUUUGUGAUGUCUUGGUUGGUCAUAAUAAAGUCCAUACAGGGAUCAAGUUCUGUCCCAGCUAACACACCAUGACUCUGUAGUAAAAUUUUUUGCCCAACUGUGGCUUUUGGAAUAAUAACAAUAGACUCACAUAUGAGAUAUUGCACAAAUCACUAUAUGCCACUCUCACCCUCUUCACCUUGUUCCCUUAAUUCCAGACAAAACCCCAAUAGAUUACAACCAAAGAAAUUUAAAUCAGGCUCCAUGCGGUGGACUUUUAAACCUGCUUUGAAAAUUAGGUUAGCAAAAACCUAAAAAGGAAGAAAAAUGGUCCAAGUGAAGCUUAACAGGUCUGAUUUCAAUAAUGUCAAACCCUGAAUUUUAUGUAGCAUGUGUAGGGAGGGGGGAUUAAGAAGAAAACAGAACAGAAUGAAAUGAAAUUGAGAUGAAGGGAAAGCGAGACUAUGAAUUCAUGACUUUUAAAAAUUAUGUCUCUCUUUCCCAUCCCCCAGUGCAGGAGACUCUAUAGCAAAAUAUAAUGAAUCAGCAUUUGUUCCCCAUUCAUUUCUCAGGCAAGGGAAAGCAGCGGAGGGCAACAUUCAGAAUGAGGUCUGGUUAAGUUUCAUGUAAGGGAAUUCCUGUGUGAAUGGCCUUUGUGUUGGCUUCACACCUGCUGAGCUAGGAGAAGCAUAAGAGCUCCUUUCAUUGCUCUAGUUAAAGCCUGUCACAAGGAUGACAUCAUUGCUCCCACAGACAUUUUAAUGUGGGGCUCUGGAGCCAGCCUUUCAAAAUGCUUGACAGAUCAGAAUUUGAACAUCUUAAAAACAAAAAAGCAAACCCAAUUGUGUUUGGCUAGCGUGCAAGAGCCAGCACAGUUAAGUUACAGGGCUGGUUUGGGGAAUUGUGCUUCGAGAGGGCAGGGGCUAAACAAACUUUCCCAUGUUGUUUUUAGACAGUGAUGGGGUCCGUGGUGAAAAGUGGCUUUUAUGCUCGCCUGAGUCUUGGUUAAAUAUCUCAGAUACCACUAGAGCUUGAGUCUCAAUGACAGGGAAUGCCUGACUUUGGCUUGUUCUCAAAUCCUCAGACAAAGGACACCACAGAUGGCCAUAGUGGGUGUGAGUAGAUAGAUUAAGCAAAGAAAGAAAAAAAUCAUUAAGUGAGACUUAUGAAUACAGCAGAGGGUUUUAUUACCGCAUGCCUUGAGAGGUCUUUGUUCACUGUUGUGUCUGCAAAUAUGAAAAUCAGGAGGAAGAUUUGGAGGAUGGCACGAAAACAUUCACACAUUUCUCUUGAAUUUCAGGUGAGGCUUCAGCCAUGCAUUCAAUUUUAUGCAUGCUGGCAAUAUGAGGUUUUGAAAAAACUAGCACUUUUAAAGUCAAUUUGGAAGUGAUUUAAGCAACAGCCAAAAUGACAUGUGGAGAAAGAUGAAAUUUAGGGGCGGCGGGGAGUAUAUGAAACAUUUGACCCUGCUAUCCUUGCAAAGUGGCAAGUUGUGCUACAAAUGAAAAUCUGCUGUCCCAAAUUUGAAAAUUAUCGAGAGGAGAGAAAAUUUCUGAGGAAUUCUCAUGGUUUUUGUUGCGUUUAACUUUUUGUGAGCCUCCUUCCUUUCAUCCUCUGAGUCAUCUCUCUUGUAGUCUGCAUUCUACAGCCUCACCAUCUGCUCACAAAUCCUGAAAACUCCAUGACGUUGGAAGGUAGGAAUACUGCCUGCAAUGUGCUUGCCAGCUGUUCAUUGUUGAUUUUUAAAGUGAAGUAUUCUUAGUUUGAAAUAAAUCAAUAGAAAAGUUUUUUUGUUUGAUUUUUUAAAAUUCCCUUCAAAACAAAAUUGGUGACUGCACGGGUGUCAAGCACUUGAUUCCAGCCUCCUUCACUUCCUGAACUUCCACUAAAGUCCAGACGAUGGCAUCAUGGAAGCAUGCACAGCCUGCAGAGGAUUGGCAAAAAGUUUAAUGGAAAGAAAAAUAUGCAGUCCACUCUUGGUCAUCUCAUAACUUUAAGGAGAUCUUGGAGUCUUCUUGGACCCUGAUGGCAACAGUGGUUCUGUUAAACUACAAACCACCUGAAAGAGUCUCCUGAUGCUGUUUUCCGCAGAUGCAACAGAGGCAGUGAGGAAGGUCCUCUUCACUUUUGCUAUCACCACUUGGAAACCUACCAUAGAGGAUUCUCGUUUUGGCCACUUCCAGAAACAUUUCCAGGCUACGUGAGCUGUAAAAGAAUUUGGCAGCUCUGCAUUCUAAGCAACAGCAGAAUGAGAAGUCCGUUUCCCAAUAGGACAUUUUGCUUGGACCCAGCCCAAAGACGUAGAUUCCACUCCAACAUCUCUCUUUCCAUUGGAAAAGUUCAUACUCAGACAAUGUGGCUGAGACCCAUGCCUAAUUGAAACUGUCCAAGCUCAGUUGUUUACAUUUUCUUUUGAGUAAGGGAGCAUGUGUUGCAAGACACCCCCCUCCCCAGAACUUGCGGGGGGGGGUAAGGGGGAGGGAGAAAAACACUAAAA